UGGGGAAUUUUGGACAAUGGGCGAAAGCCUGAUCCAGCAAUGCCGCGUGUGUGAAGAAGGCCUUCGGGUUGUAAAGCACUUUUGUCCGGAAAGAAAUGGCUCUGGUUAAUACCUGGGGUCGAUGACGGUACCGGAAGAAUAAGGACCGGCUAACUACGUGCCAGCAGCCGCGGGAAUACGUAGGGUCCAAGCGUUAAUCGGAAUUACUGGGCGUAAAGCGUGCGCAGGCGGUUGUGCAAGACCGAUGUGAAAUCCCCGAGCUUAACUUGGGAAUUGCAUUGGUGACUGCACGGCUAGAGUGUGUCAGAGGGGGGUAGAAUUCCACGUGUAGCAGUGAAAUGCGUAGAGAUGUGGAGGAAUACCGAUGGCGAAGGCAGCCCCCUGGGAUAACACUGACGCUCAUGCACGAAAGCGUGGGGAGCAAACAGG
rnacentral:rRNA from 1 species